GUGAACCAGCGGAGGGAUCAUUACAGAGUUGCAAAACUCCAACAAACCAUCGCGAAUCUUACCCGUACGGUUGCCUCGGCGCUGGCGGUCCGGAAGGCCCUCGGGCCCCCCGGAUCCUCGGGUCUCCCGCUCGCGGGAGGCUGCCCGCCGGAGUGCCGAAACCAAUCUCUUGAUAUUUUAUGUCUCUCUGAGUAAACUUUUAAAUAAGUCAAAACUUUCAACAACGGAUCUCUUGGUUCUGGCAUCGAUGAAGAACGCAGCGAAUGCGAUAAGUAAUGUGAAUUGCAGAAUUCAGAGAAUCAUCGAAUCUUUGAACGCACAUUGCGCUCGCCAGUAUUCUGGCGAGCAUGCCUGUUCGCGCGUCAUUUCAACCAUCAAGCUCUGCUUGCGUUGGGGAUCCGCGUCUGACGCGGUCCCUCAAACAGUGGCGGGCUCGCUAGUCACACCGAGCGUAGUAACUCUACAUCGCUAUGGUCGUGCGGCGGGUUCUUGCCGUAAAACCCCCAAUUUCUAAGGUUGACCUCGGAUCAGGUAGGAAUACCCGCUGAACUUAAGCAUAUCAAUAAGCGGAGGAAAAGAACCCAACAGGGAUUGCCCUAGUAACGGCGAGUGAAGCGGCAACAGCUCAAAUUUGAAAUCUGGCUUCGGC
rnacentral:rRNA from 1 species